GAUGAACGCUGGCGGUAUGCUUAACACAUGCAAGUCGAACGGUCUUUUCGGAGAUAGUGGCGGACGGGUGAGUAACGCGUGAGAAUCUAGCUCUAGGUUUGGGACAACCACUGGAAACGGUGGCUAAUACCGGAUAUGCCGAAAGGUGAAAGGUUAACUGCCUGGAGAUGAGCUCGCGUCUGAUUAGCUAGUUGGUAGGGUAAAAGCUUACCAAGGCGACGAUCAGUAGCUGGUCUGAGAGGACGAUCAGCCACACUGGGACUGAGACAC
rnacentral:rRNA from 22 species